rnacentral:rRNA from 1 species
UACGAAGGGGGCUAGCGUUGCUCGGAUUGACUGGGCGUAAAGGGCGCGUAGGCGGUUCGUACAGUCAGACGUGAAAUUCCUGGGCUCAACCUGGGGGCUGCGUUUGAUACGUGCGGACUUGAGUGCGGAAGAGGGUCGGUGGAAUUCCCAGUGUAGAGGUGAAAUUCGUAGAUAUUGGGAAGAACACCGGUGGCGAAGGCGGCGACCUGGUCCGAUACUGACGCUGAGGAGCGAAAGCGUGGGGAGCGAACAGG